rnacentral:sRNA from 1 species
GUCACCGAAACAACGGUGAACCAGGUUUGGCGACCUGAUUACCUAUGGCGGAAAACCGCCUUCCGGCGGUAUUUUU